AGAAUGUACAGGCAUUUAGGUACAAUUCCAAUGUACAUCAUUUUUUCUUUGCAGUGUUGUUUGGAAAUGUAUUUGGGUGUCCUCCUCACCAAGCAAUUACCAUGCUCAAGAAGAGAUAAUUCUGAUCACCUAAGCUGCCUUCAGUUUUUUAAGGAAAUGUUUUGAGUAAGUUCUAGACAACUCUAAAUUAUCAAUACCCAAAAAUAAAAUCUGGCAAAAGAAACUUAAAUCAGUGUUUUGGAUACUGCUGUAGUAGUGUUGUAAGGGGCCACAGGAUAUUACACUGAAGUCAGUGGCAUUAGAAACUGGAUCAAGUGGAAACACCAACUCCUUUUGUUUAUUAUCUGCUGACCAGGUGAUGCUGAAUCUUCCUCAAUAUCUCAAAUGCUGUUAAAUGUCAAAAUGACUACAGCACAAGGCUUUGCUGUUAAAAAAACUGAAGACUUGUUUCAACAUUGCAGCUAAAAGUAUUCAUCUUUGAGGCAAAGUUUUCCAGAAAAAUUAUUUUGAACUACUUUGUUUGCAAUGGUUACGUGCAGAGUAUCAUGUAAUGUGCAAAAUCUGGGCAAGGAAAUUUUACUAUCAGAAUUAAUCUUCAAAAAUGUACAGUGUGAAUAUUUGCCUUCGAGGUGGUUAAUUGGGGAAACCAGCGAGAAAGUGUUGCAAAGUGUAAAAACCUUCAGCACAAUACAGUGUAAAGCCAGGGUUAAAGAAAAGCCUGAAUGUCAGUUACCUUUUUUAAUGGCAGUUCACUAUGACACACAAGUUUUAAAGCAUUUUUGAGUGCUUAAUAAUUUCUCCAUAAUGUUGGAUGCCUCAUGAAUAAUCUCUCAUUCUCUGGCUUAAGUGGCUAAUUCAGAAACCACUAUUUUAAUGGUUUUAAUUGGAUUUUCAAAAAAAUUUUAAAGCUGUACUAACACAUUAAAGGCUUUCAAAAUAUUCAGCUGUCCUAGAUUUCUGAAAGCACAUCCCCAGUAACUAUUCUGGGUGUUUGAAAUAAAUAUUUGCUGUAAUCAGGCAUUAAUUUAACUUCAAGACUGCCCUCUUAAGAACCACUGCUUCAUCAGUUUGGAACUGCCCAAGAAGCACCAAAGCCAUUGUCUGUUUUAAGAGGCCUUAAGCUCCUGGAGGUCAGAGGUUUCCCUGCCUGAAAGCUUAACUUCUAAACCAGAAAUCUUAGGCUGGUGUCAUAAACUGUGCAAGGGUGCAUCUCAUUGCUGUUUGAACAAUGAUUAUUUUUACUUGCUGCAGCUAUGAUUUAAACAUCAGUCAGCUGAAGUGUUCGUUUAAAGUUUGUCAUGUCUCGUGUUAAUCCCUUCAGCUUUAUUCUGAACCAGUUCAACAUUUCAUGGUCAUGAAAUGUGCCAGAUCUUCUUGAUGCAUGUGAAAUAUCCAGGCUAGAACAGUUUGUUUUCCUACCUUUGGCCAUUUAUAUGGUUAUUUUCCCUUUUUCCCAAGCAAGCUUAAUUUCUAAUUUGUAUUUAUAAUCCUGCUGCUCUACCUUCCCUUGCUGGCAGGUGAAGGUUUGGUGUGAAGGUCUUUGGCCCAGCAUGUUUCCUGGAUGCUGACUUCACUGUUCAACAGUGCUUCCUAUGGCUCCAAGACACAGAUCUGCUCUGACGUGCAAGACAUCAAUUGCAAACAGGAAAGGAAAUAAACUUUGUAUCCACAUAGUGCCUAGCAGGAGAAGGGAGAAGUUGCUUACUAGCUGGGCUGAGCAGUGUGGAGGCAGUGGUUUUUU
ensembl:lncRNA